rnacentral:snRNA from 1 species
AUACUUACCUGGCCCGCUUCUCGAGGUGGUCAUCAUGGCCUCGGUUGUAUGAUUGGUCUUCACCUUUGCACUUCGUGAGGGCCUCUCGUAGUCGGCCCUUCGGGUGUCCGGCAGGGCUAAAUUUUUUUCAGGCUGAGGAUUCGCGCACUGCGCGACCUCGGC